GACGGAGGAUGCAAGUGUUGUCCGGAUUUACUGGGCGUAAAGAGCGCGCAGGCGGUCGAUCAAGUCGAGUGUGAAAGCCCCCGGCUCAACUGGGGAGGGUCAUUCGAAACUGAUCGACUUGAAGGCAGGAGAGGGUAGUGGAAUUCCCGGUGUAGUGGUGAAAUGCGUAGAUAUCGGGAGGAACACCAGUGGCGAAGGCGACUACCUGGCCUGUUCUUGACGCUGAGGCGCGAAAGCUAGGGGAGCAAACGGG
rnacentral:rRNA from 1 species